UGCAUCGGAACGUGUCCCGCAGUGGGGGAUAACGCCGCGAAAGCGGCGCUAAUACCGCAUACGCUCUGCGGAGGAAAGCGGGGGACCUGAGAGGGCCUCGCGCUAUGGGAGCGGCCGAUGUCCGAUUAGCUAGUUGGUGGGGUAAUGGCUUACCAAGGCGACGAUCGGUGGCUGGUCUGAGAGGAUGAUCAGCCACACUGGGACUGAGACACGGCCCAGACUCCUACGGGAGGCAGCAGUGGGGAAUUUUGGACAAUGGGGGCAACCCUGAUCCAGCCAUGCCGCGUGCGGGAAGAAGGC
rnacentral:rRNA from 1 species